CCUACGGGUGGCUGCAGUGGGGAAUAUUGGACAAUGGGCGAAAGCCUGAUCCAGCCAUGCCGCGUGUGUGAAGAAGGCCUUCGGGUUGUAAAGCACUUUCAGUGGGGAAGAAAGCCUUGGGGCUAAUACCCUCGAGGAAGGACAUCACCCACAGAAGAAGCACCGGCUAACUCCGUGCCAGCAGCCGCGGUAAUACGGAGGGUGCGAACGUUAAUCGGAAUUACUGGGCGUAAAGCGCGCGUAGGCGGUCUGAUAAGCCGGUUGUGAAAGCCCCGGGCUCAACCUGGGAACGGCAUCCGGAACUGUCAGGCUAGAGUGCAGGAGAGGAAGGUAGAAUUCCCGGUGUAGCAGUGAAAUGCGUAGAGGUCGGGAGGAAUACCAGUGGCGAAGGCGGCCUUCUGGACUGACACUGACGCUGAGGUGCGAAAGCGUGGGUAGCAAACAGGAUUAGAUACCCGUGUAGUC
rnacentral:rRNA from 1 species